GGCUUGAUGUGGCGUAGUGGUUUGAAUGCUGGACUACAGCUCUGGAGACCAGGGUUCGAAUCCCAGCUCGGCCA